rnacentral:rRNA from 1 species
CACUGCCGGUGGCACGACACGAUCGGUUUUUUGGGUUUAGGUUUAUAGGUCAGGGGUUGAUGACUUGUCUGUCUCUCCGUCGAACCAGACGGGGUCGGCGGAGUAGGCGUCUAAGAAAGAAAAUCGAGAGGAGUUAGCCGUCCCCUUCUCGUUCCGGCCGUCGGUACCUCGACCACCACCCUCGAAGCCUCCGCUGCUACUUCAGGCAGUACCCGUUCGACCCGCCGGAGGAGCGGGUCCUCAUGUGGGACUAAGCCCCGCAGUUGCCGCUGGAGGUCAUGUAGUUGCUGCUCGACCGGUCGUACGUCAGGAAGGAGGCCCUGGAGUGGCGGCAGCCGCGGCCGGCUCGGGUCUCGGUGCCGGUGGCCUACUUCCUGACCUACUUCGUCUAGGCGCUGUAGUGGAUGCUGUAGCUCCUAACGUAGCUGCUGAGGCGGGUGGCGGAGGUGCCGGAGGCGAGGCUGUACACGACGAUGAUGAAGCGGUUGUCGCAGAUGCUCCAGGAGUGGACCACCGGAGCGGCGCUGCAGCGGCGGUUCUAGAGGCAGGAGUUCUACGCCCGCGUCGUCUAGCCCCUCGCCUCCCUCUCCAUGCCCCAGUUGUUGGGCCUCCGGCGGCCGCCUAGACUCCCAAGGGUACGGCCUUUGCCGUGGCGACGGCCUAAGCUGCGGCGGCUGUUGGUCCUCCGCUCGGAACUCGAGCAGCGGUACUUUCUAGGCCACCCCCACCUCCUGGUGUACUUUCUCGACCUCCUCACCGACUGGUUGCUGUUCUUGUGGAGGCCGCACGACAUACAACAGCCCAAGCCUCCCCACCCCUUCUGGUGGUAACGGUGGCGGGACAUGGCCUUUAAACCCCUGGUUAAGCUGGUGGCGCGGUACCAGUUGCACAGAGUCUCGAGGCUGUAGUUGCGACAGGAGUGGUUGUAGUUCUUAGUUCAGUACGGCGUCAGGUCGCCGGUUUACGUCGUUCGGCCGCCUCCGCAUGAGCCGGUCGAGUUCGCUCCGUGGAGGCGUAACCGCCGGUUCACGACGUCGCGGCCGCGGAGUCUCCUUUGCGCACCACUCUGCUUCGACCUGGCCGAGUUCUUUCUCGAGUGCCCUGUGAAACUGUUGUCGUCAAUGAACCAGAACCAACUACUACAAACCAGACGUCGUUGCACGCUGGUCUAGUCUUUCAGUGAAGGAUGUUCAUUAUUCGCGUGAUCUUAUUAUCAAUGAUGUGCCAAAGUUCGACAACGAUUUUGUGCGUCUCCCCUUCUUCCACUAGUAUGAGCAUUUCAAAGGGGAGAACCGCAACUUCUUAGACUCUCCGAUAAAUUCGUCCGGAAGAAACUUAGGUUUCCAUCACUCCGGAAGAAACUUAGGUUUCCAUCGCUCCAACUAUUCCAAGUUCUCCUUCAAACCUUCUACACACCCCCCGACGGCAACCGGUAUCAAUAGUACCGACCAGUGCAUCGGACGUUGGGUUUGUUUAGUCGCCGGCUUACCAACUUCCAGACGUUUAGAGAUAAAGGUCUCAGUCCCUUCCUAGUACCCUUUCUACCAUCCUCUCUGGAAUGGGUCCUCCUUCAACCAUCCUAACAAUCAGUAACGAUGUUACUGUACGGACGACUGUAGUUCUGAACGAGGGACAUAAACUCGUAUAAAGGUUUCCCGGUCUUUUAGUCGUCCUUCGCAAACUGUUCCGCUACCUAUCGACUUCGAAAGCAACGACUCUUCGUCCCGGACUCACACCUCCUGCAACGUCUCUGUAUAAAGUUAGUAGAGUAUUCUUCCUUCUAGUAGGCUGGUCAACUCGUGUCGUCGUUGCCCUUCCACUUCUUUACGUAUCACGUGCUGUACCAGGAACUUGUGUAACAUCGGUUCCGUUCACUCCUCUUAAAGUAGUGACACUAACCACCAUUGACCGAAUACGUCGAUGGAUCGUCGUUCCAGGCGGCCGACAGGGAGGUUCUUUCGCUAAGGUUUGCACGUUUACUAUGUCUCUUCUACUUGGACAGUGUACAGGCCAGUGACUGGUACAAACCCUCAAACUUGGUUGACGGAAGGGUAAGUAAGUUCAAACCUUAACAUGUUCAGGACCUAGAACUUCCGACGUACCCAAAGUUUCGCGUAGUAUGUCUCCUCUAUACGUUUUACGAAGAAGAGUUCAUAGAGUCGGAGGCUUCUUCACUGUGAUUUGUUGAAGGUUUUCGCUAACCUUUCGAACUCUUGGAACUCUGAGAGCUGUAAUCUCUCUAUUCACAACAACUCAACGGAUUUUGGCAUACGGUCGAACUUGCCGACCACUUGUAUGAACCACCCCUAUUUUAUUGUUCUUCCCGUAACUUCGAAGGAGUUCUCAACUUAUUCUUCUUCUUUUACUUCCCGAACGCGUAUGACAGUCCCUAACUCUAACAACCCCCUAACCGUCUGGAAGUAGUAGACUGACUCGACUCCUUCGAACGGUAGAUGUUCGAGUCGUGGUACUCACUGCUAGGCUCAAAGUUUCUAAAUUCGAGGAGAUAGCUCAUGGACCCCCCGAUGAGAGACUUGUGGGAGUAUUAACUACUGCUCAGUAGGUUCAAAUAGUUAAGUGACCUACUGGACAGUAGUGGUGGUUUCAAGGAACAACGGGAACUCAAUAGACCGUUCUACCAAGUCGAGGGGUCGACCUAGUGUGUUGAGUCACGAGAGUGGUUCGAUUGGGAAAGUCAUUGUCGAGAGGCCUGUCUAUUGGACGACGAGGAAUCGUUAGAUCUACGUGACAAGAGGGAGUGUAAGAGUAAGUCCCGUCUUUUCGUCCUAAGCCUCUGUGACUGGUAAGACCGUCUUUUGUUCGACAGGAGACUACCCCUCUAGUGUUAAGGUCUACGACCAAAAUUCUCGGAAUCCGAAGAAGCGAAGAAACGAGGAGAGAACGGUCAUGACUGGAAAAGCUUCUUACGGUACGGUCUCGACCUCUCCGAACUCGAUGCCAAGUCGUACGACCUCCCCGAAAUACCGCACCUUUUGGAACGCCCUGAGUUCCACCACGUGGACUGCAACUUCCUGUUUCUGCCACUUAUAUACUGCUUUCUCCACGUCGCGCUCCACCUCUGUAGUCACUUCUCCUCCUGGCUACCGUUCCGUGGGUUCUAUUAGGAGCUAGUUACUGAUUAGGUUUCGUGUUGAGUCUAUAAAAGUACGAUGACGACGAAAUGAGAGAGCUUCUUCGUUCCGACUAUGACACUUUUUUUCCUACUACGAAGUAGGUCCAUGCAACAUACUUAUGGAUUUACAAGAGAGCCAGAACAAACACACACGCACGCGUGACGGUUUAAACUAUUAGUCAAUGGCUCUAGAACAUCAAGAGAAGCUGCGUUUACAGCAACAUUUAAAGUAAGUUCUGCUACCUGUACAUAAAUACACAUGAGUAGAGACCUGUAGAACAUGGUCUUAGCAAUUUAACAAGUUGUACAAGAUUAGAUUGCUUCUAUACUCUCUUAAUAAACAGGUACCAA